AACUUCUAAUUGCUUUGCUCACUCUCUGUUAUCCACGAGAUUCAUUCUUCAAAUCCAUGAGACAAGAACCAAGCUCUCCCAUAUCAGUAGUUCUGUUCUUGAUUUUUUGAGAAGCUUCUAUUCUGUUUUUCACAGUGGCUGUAUUGGUUCACAUUGCUGUUAGCAGUGUGCAGGGUUUCCCUUUUCUUCACUUGUCAAAACUUGUUUCCUGUCUUUUUGAUAGUAGUCAUUCUGGCAAGUGGAGAUGAUAUGUUGUGGUGGUUUUGGUUUGCAUUUGCCUAAUGAUUAGCCAUUUUGAACAGCUUCUCACAUGUCUGUUGGUCAUCUCUAUGUCUUCUAAGUGUUCAUUGAUGGACAAAUGAAUAAAGGAGAUCACACGCACACACACACACACAGGAGUACUACUCAGGCAUAAAGAAAAAGAAUAGAAUCUUGCCACUUGUGAAAAUAUGGAUGGACCUUGAGGGCAUUAUGCUAAGUGAAAUAAGUUAGAGAAAGACAAAUACCAUAUGAUUUCACUUAUUUGUGGAAUAAAAAAAAAUCAAAACCAAACAAACCAAACCAACUAAGCUCGUAGAUACAGAAAUCAAUUGGUGUUUGCAGAGAGAAAGAGAGUGGGGAUAGACUAAGUGAAGAGGGUCAAAGGUUACAAUCAGUUAUAAAAUAACAUGGGGAUGUAUUGUACAACAUGGUAACUAUAGUUAAUACUGUAUUGUGUAUUUGAAAGUCAGUAAUAGAUUAAAUAUGAAAACUUCUCAUGACAAGAAAAAAUUCUAACUAUAUGAUAGAUGGUAACUAUACUAUGUGGUUAUCCUUUUGCAGUAUAUACAAAUAAACAAUCAUGUCCUAUAUCUAAAAAUAAUAAAAUGUCAUGUAUCAAUAAUGCAAUAAUGUUUUUAUCUUAAAAAGUCUCUCACAGACUAUAUUUUGACAUUGUACAUAAGGGUUAACAGGGUUAACAUACCUCUAAAAAAUAAGAGUUAAUAUAUAAUAUUGAUUUAUGAUAAAAUGCCAGAAGCAUAUGUAUAUUUUUAUUUAUAUACAUAAGAAAUUCUGGAUGAAUAUGUAAAAAUUAAUGAGUGGUUAACUAUGAUAUUGAGUCAUAUCCUCAAUGCAUAAGGAAUCAGUUUUAGAAGAAAAUAUGUCAGAGUAUAUUUUUAAAAAAGCUUUAUUUUUAAAUUUAUUUUACUUUAUUUUUUAAAGAUUUAUUUACCAAUUCCAGAGAGAGACGGACUGCAUGUAGAGAGGUGCAAAAAAAUAAGAGGGAAAGAAAGAAUUCCAGACAGACUCCUCACUGAGCAGAGAGCCUAACUUGGGGCUUGAUCUCACAACACUGAGAUGGUGACCUGAACCAAAACAAGAGUAAGACACUUAAUCAACUGAGCCACCCAGGCACCCCAAUACUUUGAUUUUUAAAGCAUGGUAAUGUAUAAUAUAUUCAAAAUUGAAUAAGUGAAAUGAAUUUUUAAAAGCUGUAUAUUUGUGUGUUUGUGAGAAAGACAUGAGGGAGAUGAAGAGAAUAGGAGAAAACAAAACGAAGGACAAUAAAAGAGCAGUGAGAAGAUAUCUGAAGUGUCUUCAAGAGAAAGUUAAAUUGGAACCCAGUUGGCGCACCUGGGUUGCUCAGUGGUUAAGCAUCUGCCUUUGGCUCGGGGCCUGAUCCCAGAGUCCUGGGAUCCAGUCCCACAUCAGGCUCCCUGUGGGAGGCCUGCUUCUCCCUCUGCUUGUGUCUCUGCCUCUCGCUGUGUGUCUCUCAUGAAUAAAUAAGUAAAAUCUUUUUAGAAUUGAAAAAAAAAAAAAAAAA
rnacentral:lncRNA from 1 species